AUUUCACUGGCCCUGGCUUUCUGGAGGGCUUAUUCAAGUUGGAUAAACUUCAAAGGGAUCACAGAGCAGGCUCAGAAAUGUACUCAAAGUCUAGAUGUUUAUCCAAACUGCCUGAAGCCUUCAAGCCGGCUGUCACAUCUCUCCAGAGCUGGCAUUUCAGUACAUUUUUGAACAUUCCCUUCUCUGGUCGGGUACCAGCCUAUGGGUGGCUCUUCAGAACCUUUGCCCUAUUAUUUUUUUCUGGCCUGACACAGAGGUGUGCCCGUGGCCAAACAAUGCUAACAGGCAGGCUCCCGAGUCUGCCAAGUGCCUCCCACUCUGCUCUUAGAGCCAGGAGAGUCUAUUCUCUUUUCAUCUCUCACCAGUAAUUCUCAGUUAACUCUGGUCCUAACAGAAAACAUUAAAAAGCAAAUACAUCAUCAUUGCAUUGAAGUUGCAGCCAGAUUUUGGACGGUGGGUGAGGACAGAUGUGAAAGCGCUCCCAUUGGAAGGCUCCACUCUACUCUCAGCCCAGCCUGCAAAGCAAACUGGGGAUGGGUCCUGUGACCAGAAGCCUGCUGGCGCAAGUAGAAAGAAAGAGAAGCGAGGACCAGCUGUUGAAUCGUGCAGGUUGGCUCUGAAGGCCAGGGGGGUAACUGACAUGGGAGACAUCAAACGCGUACCCUUUGAGGGCCACCGGGGAAUCGAUCCUAAGAAGCGGUGCUUCCUUGGCUUUCCUUCCUGAGGCAAAUCCAUGCAGCUCUUGGGGAUUCUACGGCAGGCUAGGGCUUAGGCUUUCGUGCUCUGAGUGGCUGUCUCCCUGGAGUCUGAAAUUGCUGUCUUUUCUUGGACCAUGAAGAACCAGAUGGAAGCUGAAUUUUAUAGUCUCUUCUUCUGUGGUCAGCAGAAAAAAAAAAAAUCUGUGCAUCUUGCUCAUCAGCUCAGGAGCCGUGGGCUGCCCAGAAAACAGGGAGGGGUGCCUUCUGCUCUCCUCGGCAACGCUUCCACUUCCCACUCUGCUCCUCCAUCUCCACUUCCCAGUCUGUUCCAGACUUUCAAGGUAACGCAGAGAUCAUUCAAAUUGAUGAAGUCUAACUUGAAGAGCCUGUUUCCUCUUCCUGGUUUGUGCCAGGAACUGUACUAGGCUCUGGGGAAUCCUGAAACAAACUAGACAGACAUGGACUCAGCCCCCACCAUGACGACAGAGACAGCAGUUCAUUAAAUGAUUACGAGGGAGGGUGGGACGGUACCCCGUGGCGGGAGAGGUGCAUCGCUGUGGGACCUCACUGUCUAGACAGAAGUUGAUCCAGGCACCGGGAACAGCAUGUGCCAAGGUCCAGAGAUGACUGAGCGCAGCAGGCAGGUGGGGAGGCCACCAGCAGUGGGGCUGCAAUCCUUAGCACGAGCAAUGGUCACACAGUGGGUAACCGCUGGUGAGUUUUAAACAAAGGUUUGCCUAAUGAGUAGUUUGCGGAUUGCAGCGUGGAGAAUGGACUGGAGAGCCCUUAAUUUAAGAAGUCCAAGGCUACUGCAUAUUUAUUCUGCAGACAAAAAAAAAAAAAAAAAAAAAAAAAAAAAGAAUCCCGUGUUGGAAGCCUUGGGAGCUGAAAUCCUCUCUUUUGUCAAAAUAUUUUCCUUCCACCAUACUUCAACACAAUUCAGUAGCAUUCUCGCUCCACACGAGGUCUGUUAACCCUUACAAGAACAGCUCUUUUUUUCUUUCAUACUGUUCCCAUGGUGCCAUGAAGUAAGGGGCCAGGGGCCAGAUACCUGUAUGCGUUGGUCUCAUUUUACAAUGGGCUCUAUGGAAAGCGGUCCACAAAAUCCAAAAGGAUUCCAAACUUCAAACCUGGAUCUAGUUGGAAUCAAAGAGAAUUCCAUAAUGAGGUGGGUGUUGGUGUUCCUUCCCAGCAUGCCACAUGGGGAGCUUGGCACCCAGCCAAGUGGCAUUGGGGAAGAAAGAUUUUCCAGUGUGAGGCCUUCCAUUACCAAGCUCUGCUUCUCUGAUGGUCAAGCACAUGCCUUCUGUGAUCUCCGGAAAACUCUCACUUCCCCAAGGAAGGCAGCAAGCCAAGCUUUCUCUCUCCUUCCGCCAGAGCUGAAACAAUAACAGGAAGACCCCACCCACCGCUGGCUGCUUCAGGUGGUUAAGGUUUGGAAAUGAGCUGCUUGUUUUUCUGUCUCUUUCAUCUGCCCCUCCAAGAUAAACACACCUGCGCCCCCGUUGGCUUUGGUUGGUGUCUGGCUGCUUGAGUGGCUCCUUGGAACCUCCUGACCCCCAAGUAAUGCAGACCUCUGGCUGCGAGUUCUCCUAAGCCUUUUACUAGGGUAUAAAAAUGCAAAAAAAUUUCCUGAGGUGGGCGAGGUGGCUCAGUGGUGGCUGGCAACGCUGGUGACCUGUUCCCAUCCCUGGACCCAUAUGGUAGAAGGACAGAACUGACUCCUUCAAGCUGUCCUAAGACCUCCACAUACUGGCUUAGGCAUGCAAAUGCACGCACAGGUGUGUGUGUGUGCAUGCACAAAUGCAAUCAUAAAAGGAUGGACACAAUCAUAAACGGAUGGACUCCUGUGCUACUAAGGAACUCAGACUAAGGCGUCUGUGGAAUCAGAGAGGGUGAGUCACAUGACCUCACUUCGAAGGCUAGGUGUUACUCUUUGACCUUCAGCCCCUUACUUCAGAACUGCUUCUUUUUUGAGAUUUCACAGUUCAGUCCCACCAACAGUUUCUGGAAGACACUAUCCGAUGAGAAGCUGCGUUUGCUGAAACCAUCCUCUUCCCUGGGGCCCGCUGGCUGACUAAAGGCAGGAUCAAAGCGUGACGUCUCCACUUUUAUUUUACGUGUCUCCUUUUGCUACUUCAGACUUUGGGUCUGGGGCCCGGAGGGCUCAGCAAGGAAACACACCGACUGCCAAGCCUGAUGACCUGGGUUUGAUCUUCCCGGCCCCACGUGGUGGAAGGAAAGACGUGAUUCCACAAAGGUGUCCUCUGACCUCCACAGACGCACGUCGACACAUGGGACUGGUGAUCUUCCCCAUUCAAGUUGGAAGACAGCGAGAUAAGAGGGACUGAGGCAUCUUCAAGAUUUGCCAUAAUGAUUGCUGGAGAACGCAAUGGGAUUGCCAGAGGAGCCACGGACUCCAGGAGGCAGCUUAAAACCAUCAAAUGAGGGAAUUUCAGCCAGCAAUCUUCUGCUUGUAAUGCUUAAAAAUGAGCCAUAAGAGUACUUGGAACUUUAAUCUGGCCACAAAGCUAAAAGGUAUACCGAAGACGGUAAACAUUUCAGUCAGAUGUCCCUUCCUCGCCUGAACUGACAGCAGCGAGGAGGUGAACUCCAUCACACGUGCAGUCAACUGUUGCCUAGCAAACACCCACCCUAGUUUUAGGCCGCACGGGAUUGUGAACAGUGGUGUUAACUGACUGCAAAGGUUAAAUAAUGGUAAUAGAAAGUGGCCAUUUCUCCCUCGGUUGGCCAGAAAAGUUAGGGCAUGCGUUUUGAAUCGAAAACUCAUCUCAUCCUGGGACACACAUUUGGACAAGGACUUGAAGUGACCAGUUCCCUCCCCAAAGGGGGCAAAGUGGAGUCAUAGACAGUUGUGAGCUACGCAUGGUGUCGGAACGGAGCCCAGCUCCUCUGGAAGAGCAGCAAGUGCUCUAACCGCUGAGCCACCUCGUGCCUUCCCCUUCACACACUGCCCUUAUGCUCUGGUUUUACUCCACGCCCCUAACCUUCUGGUCUCUGAGUCUCUGUUGAGAAAGGCACUCUAGGGAAAAUGUCCUCCCUAACCCGAGGCUAACUCAUCCAAGGACUAGGGUGGAUUUCCAGUUCUCCAAUAGACUGCCACCUGCCAGAUUUUUGGUUUUUGUUUUAGCCUAGGAUGGCUUCAAACUGGGGAUCUUCUUAGAGCAGAGUGUUCACACCUUCAGCACUUGGAAAGUGGAGGUAGGAGAAACAGAAAUUCAAGGUCAGUUUUGACUAUGCAGCAAAUUCUAAGCCAGCUUGGGAUACACGGGUCCCUAAACGUUGGGGGCAGGGUGUGGCCCAAAUCAUCCUUUUACCUCAAUUUCCCAACUGCUGGAGGAUGGAGCUGUUUGUUUGUUUAUUAUUUGUUUGUUUUUGAGACAGGGUCUCUUGGUGUAGCCCUGGUUGUCCUGGAACUCACUCUGUAGACCAAACUGGCCUCCAGCUCAGAGAUCCGCCUGCCUUUUCCUCCCACGUGCUGAGAUUAAAGUUGUGUGCCACAACACCUGGUUGGCAUCUGGCCCUUACAAUGUCCUGUUCCAGACCACAAGAGCAGCACCUAGAAAUCUCAUAUCAUUGCCUUAAGCUGGAAGGGACCAACUACUGGUCUGACUCCACCGGUCUUCCUGACUUGUCCUGAGUCACGCUCUCUUGCAGUUGCCCUGGAUUCCAGGAAUUACAGGUCUGGUUGAUAAACGCUGCAGCAACUCUGAUACUACCCCGAAGGUUCUGAACCCUCCCUGAGGUAAUGAUUACCCAGCCACGGCUAGAGCAAGACUGCUUGGCCAUGCACCAGCCACCAGACUGCUUGGCCAUGCGUUUCUUGCCACCAGCCUUUUGUCUGUUCUUACAUAAACUCAGAACUCUUGCUAGCACCUCGAAGACAGAACUGAGGACGCUGGUUCCUCUUCCUUGGCAUGAUGGCUAUACGGAAUCAACUUCUUUCCCUUGUUUACCACUUCUUUUCUGUUUUGUCUUUUGGAGUGAGUGGCUGGGCCUGAUUUAUUGAGUCCACCACACCCAAGCCAGACUCCUGGCCUAGAAUUCAACAUGACAUAUUAAUAAUAGCACCGAGCUGUUAAAAUAUUCUGAAC